GACGAACGCUGGCGGCGUGCUUAACACAUGCAAGUCGAACGGAAAGGCCCUGCUUUUGUGGGGUUCUCGCGUGGCGAACGGGUGAGUAACACGGGAGUAACCUGCCCUUGACUUUGGGAUAACUUCAGGAGACUGGGGCUAAUACAUGCUAGGAGCUCCUGCUACAUGGUGGGGGUUGGACAGUUUAGGCGGUGGGGGAUGGACUGGGGGGUUAUCAGCUUGUUGGGGGGGGAGUUGCCAACCAAGGCUUUGACAGGUAGGCGGCCUGAGAGGGUGACCGGGCACAAUGGGCCUGAGAUAGGGACCAGACGGCUAUGGGAGGCAACAGGGGGGAAUAUGGCACAACGGGGGGAAGCGUGAUGAGACAAUCCCGGGAGCGUGAUGACGUCUUUGGGGGGGGAAACCGCUUUCGCCUAUGACGAAGCGUUAGUGACGGUAAUGGGUAAAGAAGCACCGGCUAACUACGUG
rnacentral:rRNA from 1 species